CCUACGGGAGGCAGCAGUGAGGAAUAUUGGUCAAUGGGCGCAAGCCUGAACCAGCCAUGCCGCGUGCAGGAUGAAGCAUCUAUGGUGUGUAAACUGCUUUUGUACGGGAAGAAACCCUGCCACGUGUGGCAGAUUGACGGUACCGUAAGAAUAAGGAUCGGCUAACUCCGUGCCAGCAGCCGCGGUAAUACGGAGGAUCCAAGCGUUAUCCGGAAUCAUUGGGUUUAAAGGGUCCGUAGGCGGUUUUAUAAGUCAGUGGUGAAAUCCGGCAGCUCAACUGUCGAACUGCCAUUGAUACUGUAGGACUUGAAUUAUUGUGAAGUAACUAGAAUAUGUAGUGUAGCGGUGAAAUGCUUAGAUAUUACAUGGAAUACCCAUUGCGAAGGCAGGUUACUAACAAUAUAUUGACGCUGAUGGACGAAAGCGUGGGGAGCGAACAGGAUUAGAUACCCUGGUAGUCCACGCCGUAAACGAUGGAUACUAGCUGUUUGGUUGUAAGACUGAGUGGCUAAGCGAAAGUGAUAAGUAUCCCACCUGGGGAGUACGGGCGCAGCCCUGAAACUCAAAGGAAUUGACGG
rnacentral:rRNA from 1 species